rnacentral:tRNA from 1 species
GCCGCGGUAGCUCAGCCUGGUUAGAGCGCGGGACUGUGGAUCCCGAGGUCCCGGGUUCAAAUCCCGGCCGCGGCCCCA